rnacentral:rRNA from 1 species
UACGUAGGGGGCUAGCGUUAUCCUGAAUUACUGGGCGUAAAGGGUGCGUAGGUGGUUUCUUAAGUCAGAGGUGAAAGGCUACGGCUCAACCGUAGUAAGCCUUUGAAACUGGGAAACUUGAGUGCAGGAGAGGAGAGUGGAAUUCCUAGUGUAGCGGUGAAAUGCGUAGAUAUUAGGAGGAACACCAGUUGCGAAGGCGACUUACUGGACUGUAACUGACGCUGAGUCACGAAAGCGUGGGUAGCAAACAGGAUUAGAUACCCGUGUAGUCCCUGAG